rnacentral:rRNA from 1 species
AUUGAACGCUGGCGGCAGGCCUAACACAUGCAAGUCGAGCGCGUGGCGGACGGGUGAGUAAUGUCUGGGAAACUGCCCGAUGGAGGGGGAUAACUACUGGAAACUGGCGCUAAUACCGCAUACCAUGAGAUGCGCCCAGAUGGGAGUAGCUAGUAGGUGGGGUAAAGGCUCACCUAGGAGACGAUCCCUAGCUGGUCUGAGAGGAUGACGAGCCACACUGGAACUGAGACACGGUCCAGACUCCUACGGGAGGCAGCAGUGGGGAAUAUUGCACAAUGGGCGAAAGCCUGACGAAGCCAUGCCGCGUGAGUGAAGAAGGUCUUCGGGUUGUAAAGCUCUGUUAGUGGGGAAGCGUUACCCGAACAGAAAGCACCGGCUAACUCCGUGCCAGCAGCCGCGGUAAUUC